GUAAUCGCCGUGCGUCGCCUCCACCUUAACCGCACGCUCCAGUUGCCUCUUGGCAGCAGGACUGGGCACCCGUGAGGUGCCACUCCGUUGUGGAAAAGGAACAGCCGUUAAGACCCAUCGGAAAGUGAGGGAAGCAGGCGGACGAUAGACUAGUCCAUUCUGGGGCAGUGGCACAUCCAUGCACAAAGUCGACGAGCUACACUGGGUAUAAGGGAGCUUCCCUUCAGUCUUCUCUAAAAGGAAAUAUUUUCAGGAUUGUUUGGUGUGGUGCACGUCCCAGCAUCUAGGAGGCAAGCUAGAAAUACAGAAAACUAUGGGGACAAAGAGAAAAAGGACCUGCUUGCUGGGCCUCCUGGCCCUGAGAAUCAAGAUUUCCAGAUGUUACUAUCUGUAGUGAAGCCUGCCAAUAUUGACAAUGUUUGGGGGUUUUGUUUGUCUGUUUUAGAGAGAAGCAUCUUCAAAUGAGAGGGUUAAUAAUAAUUCAGGCUAUACAGAGAAACCCUGUCUCAAAAAACCAAUAAUAAUAAUUCAGGCUGGAGGCCUACGCGUAUGUGAGCUUAAGGAUGGUCUGCGAACCUCACAACAGUUAACUUGUGUUCACAGUGGAAACAAAAGAACAAUUCAGGAACAGCCCAUGACCAAAUUCCUUAAUAACCUUUAAAAAUAAUAACUUCAGUGUUCUUGCUAAGACCAUGAAGUGUGACUGUGGUAUGCGUCCUCUUUGGAGCACCUGUCAACUCCCAUGCUUUAAAAAAAAAAAAAAUCACAUAGUAAACUCCAACUUUGAAUCAUAGUGGCUGCCUCUGAGGAGGUCUUCAUGAUAGACUUGUCUUGUCAUUUCUGGAAUCCAAGGUAAUUAGAGAAGAGUAUGACUGGGGGUAGGGGAUUGAGUCAGAGAAGAAACAAAAUGGCAUUAAGUGCACUGGCUGGUGCCUUCUUUCAUUCCUUUGUAAUAGAAGUACCUUGCCGGCUGCAAAAUGGCUGUGUAUAAAUGCUGGUUCAGAGGCAGGGACCCAAAGAAAUAGCUACCCUAUAGUUACAUGAAAACAUUGGCACAUUCCUGAGGCUAUUGGAAGGUAAGGGUAAAUAUGUACUGCUUCUGAAAUCUCGCCUGCACCUUGAACUUGAACUUUUGGAAAAUGCCCUGGGCAAACACAUGCAUCACAGAGAAUUUGGAUUAGAAACCCCCCUGAAAGAUGCCUACUUAUACACCCGGAAACAGGACAAAUAUUAGGGCAGCAGUGUGCUUUUGGUUUUGCAUCUGAGCAAUCUAGCCAAGGCUCUGCAAGUGUUCUACUCUUAAGAUACUAAACACUGAGUCCUGAAGUCUUUCUUGAAGUUCUUGUCUUUUAACCAUUACUAUACUUAUUUGUUGGUUUGAUCGUCUGAGGCAGAAUCUCUAUAUCUACCUAUCUAUCACAA
ensembl:lincRNA 4930532G15Rik RIKEN cDNA 4930532G15 gene